rnacentral:rRNA from 1 species
AAGGGAGCUUGCUCCCUGAUUCAGCGGCGGACGGGUGAGUAAUGCCUAGGAAUCUGCCUGGUAGUGGGGGACAACGUCUCGAAAGGGACGCUAAUACCGCAUACGUCCUACGGGAGAAAGCAGGGGACCUUCGGGCCUUGCGCUAUCAGAUGAGCCUAGGUCGGAUUAGCUAGUUGGUGAGGUAAUGGCUCACCAAGGCGACGAUCCGUAACUGGUCUGAGAGGAUGAUCAGUCACACUGGAACUGAGACACGGUCCAGACUCCUACGGGAGGCAGCAGUGGGGAAUAUUGGACAAUGGGCGAAAGCCUGAUCCAGCCAUGCCGCGUGUGUGAAGAAGGUCUUCGGAUUGUAAAGCACUUUAAGUUGGGAGGAAGGGCAUUAACCUAAUACGUUGGUGUUUUGACGUUACCGACAGAAUAAGCACCGGCUAACUCUGUGCCAGCAGCCGCGGUAAUACAGAGGGUGCAAGCGUUAAUCGGAAUUACUGGGCGUAAAGCGCGCGUAGGUGGUUUGUUAAGUUGGAUGU